rnacentral:rRNA from 1 species
CCAAUAGCGUAUAUUAAAGUUGUUGCAGUUAAAAAGCUCGUAGUUGAAUUUCGGGGUUAGUAGGUUGGUCAUGCCUCUGGUAUGUACUGGUCUCACUGAUUCCUCCUUCCUGAUGAACCUUAAUGCCAUUAAUUUGGUGUUUUGGGGAAUUUGGACUGUUACUUUGAAAAAAUUAGAGUGUUUAAAGCAAGCUAACGCUUGAAUACAUUAGCAUGGAAUAAUGAAAUAGGACGUUCGAUCCUAUUUUGUUGGUUUCUAGGAUUGACGUAAUGAUUAAUAGGGAUAGUUGGGGGCAUUAGUAUUCAAUUGUCAGAGGUGAAAUUCUUGGAUUUAUUGAAGACUAACUACUGCGAAAGCAUUUGCCAAGUAUGUUUUCAUUAAUCAAGAACGAAAGUUAGGGGAUCGAAGACGAUCGGAUACCGUCGUAGUCUUAACCAUAAACUAUGCCGACUAGGGAUCGGAUGAUGUUAAUUUUUUAAUGACUCAUUCGGCGCCUUACG